rnacentral:rRNA from 1 species
GACGAACGCUGGCGGCGUGCUUAACACAUGCAAGUCGAACGGAAAGGCCCUGCUUUUGUGGGGUGCUCGAGUGGCGAACGGGUGAGUAACACGUGAGUAACCUGCCCUUGACUUUGGGAUAACUUCAGGAAACUGGGGCUAAUACCGGAUAGGAGCUCCUGCUGCAUGGUGGGGGUUGGAAAGUUUCGGCGGUUGGGGAUGGACUCGCGGCUUAUCAGCUUGUUGGUGGGGUAGUGGCUUACCAAGGCUUUGACGGGUAGCCGGCCUGAGAGGGUGACCGGACAAAAUGGGACCUAGAAACGGCCCAAGCUACCACGGGAGGGAGGAAUGGGGAAAAUUGCACCAUGGGCGGAAACCUUAUGCAAGAACGCCCCGUGGGGGAUGACGGCCCUCGGGUUGGAAACCGCUUUCGCCUGUGACGAAGCGUGAGUGACGGUAAUGGGUAAAGAAGCACCGGCUAACUACGUG